AGAGUUUGAUCCUGGCUCAGGAUGAACGCUGGCGGCGUGCUUAACACAUGCAAGUCGAACGGGGAACCCCUGACGGAGUUUUCGGACAACUGAAGGGAAUUCCUAGUGGCGGACGGGUGAGUAACGCGUGAGUAACCUGCCUGGGAGUGGGGAAUAACACACCGAAAGGUGUGCUAAUACCGCAUAAUGCAGUUGUGCCGCAUGGUACUGACUGCCAAAGAUUUAUCGCUCUUAGAUGGACUCGCGUCUGAUUAGCUAGUUGGCGGGGUAGAGGCCCACCAAGGCGACGAUCAGUAGCCGGACUGAGAGGUUGGCCGGCCACAUUGGGACUGAGACACGGCCCAGACUCCUACGGGAGGCAGCAGUGGGGAAUAUUGGGCAAUGGGCGCAAGCCUGACCCAGCAACGCCGCGUGAAGGAAGAAGGCCUUCGGGUUGUAAACUUCUUUUAUUCGGGACGAAGCAAGUGACGGUACCGAAUGAUAAGCCACGGCUAACUACGUGCCAGCAGCCGCGGU
rnacentral:rRNA from 1 species